rnacentral:snoRNA from 1 species
AAGAUCAUACUUCACAGGAUCAUUUCUGUAGUAUAUCUUCAGGUUGACAAACUUUUAUAGUUUCCAGCCCCUCGGUCACGAUGAUGAGACUCUCUCAUUCACCUGAGCGUGAGGUUGUGUGAUCUGAUGUCUGAUCUUCUCCAAGAUUAGAUCACACCUCGAUGAUCGCGCCCUAACUCUCGAGUUAGGCGGGUGAAUGAGGUGUCUGAGUGGA